rnacentral:rRNA from 1 species
UCGGAUUGAUACUAAGCCAUGCGAGUCAUUGUAGCAAUACAAGGCAGACGGCUCAGUAACGCGUAGUCAACCUAACCUAUGGACGGGAAUAACCUCGGGAAACUGAGAAUAAUGCCCGAUAGAACACUAUACCUGGAAUGGUUUGUGUUCCAAAUGAUUUAUCGCCGUAGGAUGGGACUGCGGCCUAUCAGUUUGUUGGUGAGGUAAUGGCCCACCAAGACUAUUACAGGUACGGGCUCUGAGAGGAGUAGCCCGGAGAUGGGUACUGAGACACGGACCCAGGCCCUAUGGGGCGCAGCAGGCGAGAAAACUUUGCAAUGUGCGAAAGCACGACAAGGUUAAUCCGAGUGGUUUCUGCUAAAGGAACCUUUUGUCGGUCCUAGAAACACCGAUGAAUAAGGGGUGGGCAAGUUCUGGUGUCAGCCGCCGCGGUAAAACCAGCACCUCAAGUGGUCAGGAUGAUUAUUGGGCCUAAAGCAUCCGUAGCCGGCACUAUAAGUUUUCGGUUAAAUCUGUACGCUCAACGUACAGGCUGCCGGGAAUACUGUAGCGCUAGGGAGUGGGAGAGGUAGACGGUACUCGGUAGGAAGGGGUAAAAUCCUUUGAUCUAUUGAUGACCACCUGUGGCGAAGGCGGUCUACCAGAACACGUCCGACGGUGAGGGAUGAAAGCUGGGGGAGCAAACCGGAUUAGAUACCCGGGUAGUCCCAGCUGUAAACUAUGCAAACUCAGUGAUGCAUUGGCUUGUGGCCAAUGCAGUGCUGCAGGGAAGCCGUUAAGUUUGCCGCCUGGGAAGUACGUACGCAAGUAUGAAACUUAAAGGAAUUGGCGGGGGAGCAC